GGGUUGUGAGGUUAAGCGACUAAGCGUACACGGUGGAUGCCCUGGCAGUCAGAGGCGAUGAAGGGCGUGCUAAUCUGCGAUAAGCGCCGGUAAGGUGAUAUGAACCGUUAUAACCGGCGAUACCCGAAUGGGGAAACCCAGUGUGAUUCGUCACACUAUCAUUAACUGAAUCCAUAGGUUAAUGAGGCGAACCGGGGGAACUGAAACAUCUAAGUACCCCGAGGAAAAGAAAUCAACCGAGAUUCCCCCAGUAGCGGCGAGCGAACGGGGAGGAGCCCAGAGCCUGAAUCAGCAUGUGUGUUAGUGGAAGCGUCUGGAAAGGCGCGCGAUACAGGGUGACAGCCCCGUACACAAAAGCGCAUGUGCUGUGAGCUCGAUGAGUAGGGCGGGACACGUGGUAUCCUGUCUGAAUAUGGGGGGACCAUCCUCCAAGGCUAAAUACUCCUGACUGACCGAUAGUGAACCAGUACCGUGAGGGAAAGGCGAAAAGAACCCCGGCGAGGGGAGUGAAAAAGAACCUGAAACCGUGUACGUACAAGCAGUGGGAGCACAGGUUUACCUGUGUGACUGCGUACCUUUUGUAUAAUGGGUCAGCGACUUAUAUUCUGUAGCAAGGUUAACCGUAUAGGGGAGCCGAAGGGAAACCGAGUCUUAACCGGGCGUUAAGUUGCAGGGUAUAGACCCGAAACCCGGUGAUCUAGCCAUGGGCAGGUUGAAGGUUGGGUAACACUAACUGGAGGACCGAACCGACUAAUGUUGAAAAAUUAGCGGAUGACCUGUGGCUGGGGGUGAAAGGCCAAUCAAACCGGGAGAUAGCUGGUUCUCCCCGAAAGCUAUUUAGGUAGCGCCUCGUGAAUUCAUCUCCGGGGGUAGAGCACUGUUUCGGCUAGGGGGCCAUCCCGGCUUACCAACCCGAUGCAAACUGCGAAUACCGGAGAAUGUUAUCACGGGAGACACACGGCGGGUGCUAACGUCCGUCGUGAAGAGGGAAACAACCCAGACCGCCAGCUAAGGUCCCAAAGUCAUGGUUAAGUGGGAAACGAUGUGGGAAGGCCCAGACAGCCAGGAUGUUGGCUUAGAAGCAGCCAUCAUUUAAAGAAAGCGUAAUAGCUCACUGGUCGAGUCGGCCUGCGCGGAAGAUGUAACGGGGCUAAACCAUGCACCGAAGCUGCGGCAGCGAACGUAUCACUUAAAGCGAUUCAGCGGGUUACGAUUGACGGAGCGAAGCGACGUCAAAGCGUAUACAAAGUCGAGUCGGUUUAAGGAUACGUUCGUUGGGUAGGGGAGCGUUCUGUAAGCCUGUGAAGGUGUGUCGUGAGGCAUGCUGGAGGUAUCAGAAGUGCGAAUGCUGACAUAAGUAACGAUAAAGCGGGUGAAAAGCCCGCUCGCCGGAAGACCAAGGGUUCCUGUCCAACGUUAAUCGGGGCAGGGUGAGUCGACCCCUAAGGCGAGGCCGAAAGGCGUAGUCGAUGGGAAACGGGUUAAUAUUCCCGUACUUGGUGUUACUGCGAAGGGGGGACGGAGAAGGCUAUGUUGGCCGGGCGACGGUUGUCCCGGUUUAAGCGUGUAGGUGUGUGUUCCAGGUAAAUCCGGUUCACUUUAACACUGAGGCGUGAUGACGAGGCACUACGGUGCUGAAGCAACAAAUGCCCUGCUUCCAGGAAAAGCCUCUAAGCAUCAGGUAACAUCAAAUCGUACCCCAAACCGACACAGGUGGUCAGGUAGAGAAUACCAAGGCGCUUGAGAGAACUCGGGUGAAGGAACUAGGCAAAAUGGUGCCGUAACUUCGGGAGAAGGCACGCUGACACGUAGGUGAAGUGAUUUACUCAUGGAGCUGAAGUCAGUCGAAGAUACCAGCUGGCUGCAACUGUUUAUUAAAAACACAGCACUGUGCAAACACGAAAGUGGACGUAUACGGUGUGACGCCUGCCCGGUGCCGGAAGGUUAAUUGAUGGGGUCAGCGCAAGCGAAGCUCCUGAUCGAAGCCCCGGUAAACGGCGGCCGUAACUAUAACGGUCCUAAGGUAGCGAAAUUCCUUGUCGGGUAAGUUCCGACCUGCACGAAUGGCGUAAUGAUGGCCAGGCUGUCUCCACCCGAGACUCAGUGAAAUUGAACUCGCUGUGAAGAUGCAGUGUACCCGCGGCAAGACGGAAAGACCCCGUGAACCUUUACUAUAGCUUGACACUGAACAUUGAGCCUUGAUGUGUAGGAUAGGUGGGAGGCUUUGAAGCGUGGACGCCAGUCUGCGUGGAGCCGACCUUGAAAUACCACCCUUUAAUGUUUGAUGUUCUAACGUGGACCCGUGAUCCGGGUUGCGGACAGUGUCUGGUGGGUAGUUUGACUGGGGCGGUCUCCUCCUAAAGAGUAACGGAGGAGCACGAAGGUUGGCUAAUCCUGGUCGGACAUCAGGAGGUUAGUGCAAUGGCAUAAGCCAGCUUGACUGCGAGCGUGACGGCGCGAGCAGGUGCGAAAGCAGGUCAUAGUGAUCCGGUGGUUCUGAAUGGAAGGGCCAUCGCUCAACGGAUAAAAGGUACUCCGGGGAUAACAGGCUGAUACCGCCCAAGAGUUCAUAUCGACGGCGGUGUUUGGCACCUCGAUGUCGGCUCAUCACAUCCUGGGGCUGAAGUAGGUCCCAAGGGUAUGGCUGUUCGCCAUUUAAAGUGGUACGCGAGCUGGGUUUAGAACGUCGUGAGACAGUUCGGUCCCUAUCUGCCGUGGGCGCUGGAGAACUGAGGGGGGCUGCUCCUAGUACGAGAGGACCGGAGUGGACGCAUCACUGGUGUUCGGGUUGUCAUGCCAAUGGCACUGCCCGGUAGCUAAAUGCGGAAGAGAUAAGUGCUGAAAGCAUCUAAGCACGAAACUUGCCCCGAGAUGAGUUCUCCCUGAGACUUAAAGUCUCCUGAAGGAACGUUGAAGACGACGACGUUGAUAGGCCGGGUGUGUAAGCGCAGCGAUGCGUUGAGCUAACCGGUACUAAUGAACCGUGAGGCUUAACCUUACAACGCCGAAG
rnacentral:rRNA from 1 species